UACGACUACAUAUCAGGCAUAUCAAUAAGCGGAGGAAAAGAAACUAACAAGGAUUCCCUUAGUAACGGCGAGUGAAGCGGGAAGAGCUCAAAUUUGAAAUCUUCAAGGUUCUACCUUGACGAAUUGUAGUUUAAAGAAGUGUUUUCUGUUAGAUGAGUAGCAAAAGUUCCUUGGAAUGGGACAUCAUAGAGGGUGAGAAUCCCGUAUUUGGUUAUUCAUUCUAGCUUUGUGAUACACUCUCAAAGAGUCGGAUUGUUUGGGAAUGCAGUCCAAAAUGGGUGGUAAAUUUCAUCUAAAGCUAAAUAUUGGCGAGAGACCGAUAGCGAACAAGUACCGUGAGAGAAAGAUGAAAAGAACUUUGAAAAGAGAGUUAAACAGUACGUGAAAUUGUCAAAAGGGAAGCGUUUGACACCAGUGUUGUUUUUCCGAAAAUCAAUUACGAAUGGCUUGAUUUUGUGUUGUAUUGAACCUUAUCAGCUUUCUGCACUUUUUUCGAGUCUUUCUUAAUGCACUUUUCGGUUAACAAGUCAACAUCAAUUUCUUUUGUUGUAAAAGAGUAUUCGGAAGGUGGCUUUCUUUUCGGAGAAAGUGUUUAUAGCCCUAUACUUCUACAAUCGGAGAGAUUGAGGUCUGCAGCGUAGAUCCUUCGGGGUUAGAUACACUUGUGCUAAGUUGUAGCUUUUCAUAGACAACUUGUUGACUAUGUUUAGUCAUGCGGCUUACUCGCUUGUGCUAUUUUACCUACGCUUAGGAUGUUGAGUAGCGACAUACGCAC
rnacentral:rRNA from 1 species